CAGGUGAAGACUUGCUGGCUGAGAACAGGUUUCCGGAAGUGGACGGAGUUACAGGCGGGCUGGCUAGGGGGACUCCCAGAGGUCUCCACCUCUGUGCCCUGGAGCUCUGGGUUUAGAGGCUGGGAAAAGUGAUUUAGGUGAGUAUAGGCUCCACUUCUGUUUUGGGUUCCCUUGGAGUCUAAAGUGUCACAUUAUUCCGGCUACUAUGAAUUUGUGAAAUUGUUAGUUUUCUUCUUCCUCUUGAGUGGUGGCUGUCUCUUCUUCCAGUGCUCUGAAAAAGAUAGAGAAUCAGUGGCUCUUCUAAGGGGAUCCUGUGUACUGAAAAUGAUCACUGUUGCUCAUUUCUUCUCUUCCACUAAAUUACUUUGUGACACAGGAUGUUGGGGAAGACGGCUUGUAACCAUCUACCACUGGCCUUGUGGUCACCUUUGCCUUAAAGCAAUCUCUGGGAGAUUUUGCAGGUGCACACGUCCUGCUGCUAUGCCAAAUGCUUCAUCCCACCAGGAGUUUUUACCUGGCCGGUGUCAUGGCUGCCAAGCUGAGAGAAGGACACCAUGUCGGACUGUCAGGAAGAUAUGUGCUGUGUGGUUUCCACCCACCAAGUCAGAGAAGUUACAUAUAUGACGGCACAGAGGAGCCUGCCUAGUGACAAGGCAGUUCCUCUACUUCAGCUAACUCUGAUUGUGCUCACUAACUGGUCAUAUGGACCUCCUGCUGCAAUGCCUAAUAACUGCAGUUCAGAUGCCAACAUCUUUUCUCACCUUCUUACCAGGAAGGAAGCAUUGUCUUUGAUUGUCCAUCAGGACUAAUCCUUUCUCAGCAUGAUACUUGUUAGCAUAAUUGCAGAGAAAGAACCAAAAAAGUGCAUUAGGAGCUGUUCCUUUUUAAAAAAUAUGCAGUUGCUCCUUGGUUUCUGUGGGGGAUUGGUUUCAGGAACCCCUCUGAAUAUUCCCAGAUUUGCCAGUUCUCAAAUUCUUAUGUAAAUUGGCAUAGUAUUUACAUUUAGCCUGUGUACAUCCUCCUGUAUAGUUAAAAUUAUUGGCAGAUAGCUUAUACCUGUAUAAGCUAUCUUAUUACGUAUAUUGUAUACCUAAUACAAUGUAAAUGUUAUCUAAAUAAUUGCUGGACAUGGCAAAUUCAAAUUUUACUUUUAGGAACUUUCUGGAAUUAAAAAAAAAAAUAUUUUCAAUCUGCAGUUGGUUGAAUCUGAAAAUGCUGAUCCAGGGGAUAUGGAGAGCAGACCAUAUGUAAUUUGCAGGGGAAAAGCACUGUAUAUAUUUCACUGAUUUUCAUAGUGAAGAUUUCUUUCAGUUAUCAAAUUUUUCAACUAUCUUUUCAUUAAUUUUAUGUAUUUAGAAACCCUACUCAAUUCCCAGAAAACUUUGUAUAAUCUCUAUUAACCUGAUCAUAGUGCAGAGAAGCUUCUAGUUAAUAAUUUUAAAGACUCUUAUCUCCAGGAAAGCAUGAAUUAUGAACAAUUCCAGUUACUUUUGGAACACAUUUCGUCAUACAGUUGAGUUGAAAAUGAAGAAUGAAAGAACUUAGUUUUGAGAUCUCUUUCCAAAAGAAUUGUGGAGUCACUAAAAUGCCUUUUAUUCAAUCUUCAGAGUAUAAACUGAGAAAGAAAAAUAUAUUUGUCCAUAAUUGGAUUAUGUUGUCAGCAUAGAGAUUAAAAAUGAGCAGCAAAUAUAUACCUGGAGAAGUAUUAUUUCUAUUAACUAGAAUAUUGAUAUACUUGAAAAUUUAAAAAAAGAGAAAAGAUUCAAAAUCAUUUUUUAACAAAAGGGAAAUAAGACCUAAUAGGUAUCCCUGUGUUAAAGAAAUUAUAUCUUGAAAAAUUUAGUGUUAAUGUUCAAGGUAAAAGACAAAUAGUGAUUAAGAAGAUUGUAGAAGUGGAGAAUCAACAUAUAUCAUACAUUUGCCCAUCUAUUUUUUUGUCAACCUAUAACACUAUUUAAUUUUUAUGUUUCUGUACAAAGUUCAAAAGCAGGCAAAAUGUCAGGACAGUGAUUGAAGUUGUAUGGGGCUUUAUUUGACCCAACUCAUAAGUAAAGUUUAAAAAAAAAAAAAGGAUUUUAUUUUUUAUUUCACAAGUGAUUUUUAAUUAUGUAGCCACAGUUUCCCCACAUUUUUAUAUGACAACAUCUUUUCUGUUACACUUUUUAAACUUUAGAUACAGUUUAUUAGAAGUUAAAAGGGAAAGACAUUCUUUCUGCUAAAUAAUAUAUCCUAUUUAACUUAAAAAUGAUUAACCUCUUAGAUAUCAAGAAUUGAAACAGCUGGUAUCACAUUUAUUUGUAGGUCCCCAAAUAGCCCUGAGGACUAAAUAGGAAAAUAUCUUUUAUAAACUAUAACAAAAACUCUCACCCCAAAAUAAAGCUCUAUGAAACUUACAUAAUUACAACCUUAUUCAGCAUUUUUACAAUAUCCCAAAAGCUACAGGAAAAAAGAUUUUAAAAGUUGGAAUUAGUACCUGGGACAAAUCUUGACUAGUGUGAAAAAUAUGAUUAAAAGACUCCUAAUAUUACUGAGGUGAGAAAUUUCUACUUCCUUUUCACACACCAAUAAAAAUGUGGUAGUAACUUUUGGUAAUAUUACUCUUCCCAGAGUUUUGUUGUUGUUAUUGUCAAAUA